CCUACGGGAGGCAGCAGUGGGGAAUAUUGGACAAUGGGCGCAAGCCUGAUCCAGCAAUGCCGCGUGGGUGAUGAAGGCCUUAGGGUUGUAAAGCUCUUUCGCCCGCGACGAUGAUGACGGUAGCGGGAGAAGAAGCCCCGGCUAACUUCGUGCCAGCAGCCGCGGUAAUACGAAGGGGGCGAGCGUUGUUCGGAUUUACUGGGCGUAAAGGGCGCGUAGGCGGCCCUCCUUGUCGCGUGUGAAAGCCCCGGGCUCAACCUGGGAACGGCGCGCGAGACGGGGGGGCUGGAGUUCGGGAGAGGAGCGUGGAAUUCCCAGUGUAGAGGUGAAAUUCGUAGAUAUUGGGAAGAACACCGGUGGCGAAGGCGGCGCUCUGGACCGAGACUGACGCUGAGGCGCGAAAGCGUGGGGAGCAAACAGGAUUAGAUACCCUGGUAGUCCACGCCGUAAACGAUGUGUGCUAGACGUUGGGGAGCCUAGCUCUCCGGUGUCGCCGCAAACGCUUUAAGCACACCGCCUGGGGAGUACGGCCGCAAGGUUAAAACUCAAAGGAAUUGACGG
rnacentral:rRNA from 1 species